GACGAACGCUGGCGGCGUGCUUAACACAUGCAAGUCGAACGGAAAGGCCCUGCUGUUGUGGGGUGCUCGAGUGGCGAACGGGUGAGUAACAAGUGAGUAACCUGCCCUGGACUUUGGGAUAACUUCAGGAAACUGGGGCUAAUAACGGAUAGGAGCUCCUGCUGCAUGGUGGGGGUUGGAAAGUUUCGGCGGUUGGGGAUGGACUUGCGGCUGAUCAGCUUGUUGGUGGGGUAGUGGCUUACCAAGGCUUUGACGGGUAGCCGGCCUGAGAGGGUGACCGGCCACAUUGGGACUGAGAUACGGACCAGACUCCUACGGGAGGCAGCAGUGGGGAAUAUUGCACAAUGGGCGGAAGCGUGAUGCAGAAACGCCGCGUGCGGGAUGACGGCCUUCGGGUUGUAAACCGCUUUCGCCUGUGACGAAGCGUGAGUGACGGUAAUGGGUAAAGAAGCACCGGCUAACUACGUG
rnacentral:rRNA from 1 species